GGUCAAGCGAACAAGUGCAUGUGGUGGAUGCCUUGGCGAUCACAGGCGAUGAAGGACGCGGUAGCCUGCGAAAAGCUACGGGGAGCUGGCAAACGAGCUUUGAUCCGUAGAUGUCCGAAUGGGGAAACCCGGCCCUUUUGGGUCAUCCUAGACUGAAUACAUAGGUCUAGUGAAGCGAACGCGGUGAACUGAAACAUCUAAGUAACCGCAGGAAAAGAAAUCAACCGAGAUUCCCAAAGUAGUGGCGAGCGAAAUGGGAUGAGCCUUGCACUCUUUAUUUGUAUUGUUAGCCGAACGCUCUGGAAAGUGCGGCCAUAGCAGGUGAUAGCCCUGUAGGCGAAAACAGUAUGAAAGAACUAGGUGUGCGACAAGUAGGGCGGGACACGUGAAAUCCUGUCUGAAGAUGGGGGGACCAUCCUCCAAGGCUAAAUACUCGUGAUCGACCGAUAGUGAACCAGUACCGUGAGGGAAAGGCGAAAAGAACCCCGGGAGGGGAGUGAAAUAGAUCCUGAAACCGCAUGCAUACAAACAGUCGGAGCCUCGUAAGGGGUGACGGCGUACCUUUUGUAUAAUGGGUCAGCGACUUACGUUCAGUAGCAAGCUUAACCGUAUAGGGCAGGCGUAGCGAAAGCGAGUCCGAAUAGGGCGUUCAGUUGCUGGGCGUAGACCCGAAACCAGGUGAUCUAUCCAUGGCCAGGAUGAAGGUGCGGUAACACGUACUGGAGGUCCGAACCCACUAACGUUGAAAAGUUAGGGGAUGAGCUGUGGAUAGGGGUGAAAGGCUAAACAAACCUGGAAAUAGCUGGUUCUCUCCGAAAACUAUUUAGGUAGUGCCUCGUGUCUCACCUUCGGGGGUAGAGCACUGUCAUGGUUGGGGGGUCUAUUGCAGAUUACCCCGCCAUAGCAAACUCCGAAUACCGAAGAGUGCAAUCACGGGAGACAGACAUCGGGUGCUAACGUCCGGUGUCAAGAGGGAAACAACCCAGACCGCCAGCUAAGGUCCCCAAAUAUAGCUAAGUGGGAAACGAAGUGGGAAGGCUAAAACAGUCAGGAGGUUGGCUUAGAAGCAGCCACCCUUUAAAGAAAGCGUAAUAGCUCACUGAUCGAGUCGUCCUGCGCGGAAGAUGUAACGGGGCUAAGCUAUAUACCGAAGCUGCGGAUGCGUGCUUUGCACGCAUGGUAGGAGAGCGUUCCGUAAGCCUGCGAAGGUGCCUUGUAAAGGGUGCUGGAGGUAUCGGAAGUGCGAAUGCUGACAUGAGUAGCGAUAAAGGGGGUGAAAGGCCCCCUCGCCGUAAGCCCAAGGUUUCCUACGCAACGUUCAUCGGCGUAGGGUGAGUCGGCCCCUAAGGCGAGGCAGAAAUGCGUAGCUGAUGGGAAGCAGGUCAAUAUUCCUGCACCAUUGUUAGAUGCGAUGGGGGGACGGAUCGCGGAAGGUUGUCCGGGUGUUGGAAGUCCCGGUCGCUGCAUUGGAGAAGGCGCUUAGGCAAAUCCGGGCGCGUAAUUCAAGGGUGUGGCGCGAGCUCCUUAGGGAGCGAAGCAAUUGGAAGUGGUUCCAAGAAAAGCCUCUAAGCUUCAGUCUAACGAUGACCGUACCGCAAACCGACACAGGUGGGCGAGAUGAGUAUUCUAAGGCGCUUGAGAGAACUCGGGAGAAGGAACUCGGCAAAUUGGUACCGUAACUUCGGGAUAAGGUACGCCCUUGUAGCUUGACUGGCCUGCGCCAGGAGGGUGAAGGGGUUGCAAUAAACUGGUGGCUGCGACUGUUUAAUAAAAACACAGCACUCUGCAAACACGAAAGUGGACGUAUAGGGUGUGACGCCUGCCCGGUGCCGGAAGAUUAAAUGAUGGGGUGCAAGCUCUUGAUUGAAGUCCCGGUAAACGGCGGCCGUAACUAUAACGGUCCUAAGGUAGCGAAAUUCCUUGUCGGGUAAGUUCCGACCUGCACGAAUGGCGUAACGAUGGCCACACUGUCUCCUCCCGAGACUCAGCGAAGUUGAAGUGUUUGUGAUGAUGCAAUCUACCCGCGGCUAGACGGAAAGACCCCAUGAACCUUUACUGUAGCUUUGCAUUGGACUUUGAACCGAUCUGUGUAGGAUAGGUGGGAGGCUAUGAAACCGGAACGCUAGUUUCGGUGGAGCCGUCCUUGAAAUACCACCCUGGUUUGUUUGAGGUUCUAACCUUGGCCCGUGAUCCGGGUCGGGGACAGUGCAUGGUAGGCAGUUUGACUGGGGCGGUCUCCUCCCAAAGCGUAACGGAGGAGUACGAAGGUACGCUAGGUACGGUCGGAAAUCGUGCUGAUAGUGCAAUGGCAUAAGCGUGCUUAACUGCGAGACCGACAAGUCGAGCAGGUGCGAAAGCAGGUCAUAGUGAUCCGGUGGUUCUGUAUGGAAGGGCCAUCGCUCAACGGAUAAAAGGUACUCUGGGGAUAACAGGCUGAUACCGCCCAAGAGUUCAUAUCGACGGCGGUGUUUGGCACCUCGAUGUCGGCUCAUCUCAUCCUGGGGCUGUAGCCGGUCCCAAGGGUAUGGCUGUUCGCCAUUUAAAGAGGUACGUGAGCUGGGUUUAAAACGUCGUGAGACAGUUUGGUCCCUAUCUGCCGUGGGCGUUGGAUAUUUGAAGGGGGCUGCUCCUAGUACGAGAGGACCGGAGUGGACGAACCUCUGGUGUACCGGUUGUCACGCCAGUGGCAUCGCCGGGUAGCUAUGUUCGGAAGAGAUAACCGCUGAAAGCAUCUAAGCGGGAAACUCGCCUUAAGAUGAGAUAUCCCUGGGGACUAGAUCCCCUUGAAGGGUCGUUCGAGACCAGGACGUUGAUAGGUCAGGUGUGUAAGCGCAGUAAUGCGUUCAGCUAACUGAUACUAAUUGCCCGUAAGGCUUGAUCCU
rnacentral:rRNA from 1 species